rnacentral:rRNA from 1 species
AUUGAACGCUGGCGGCAGGCCUAACACAUGCAAGUCGAACGAGUGGCGGACGGGUGAGUAAUGUCUGGGAAACUGCCCGAUGGAGGGGGAUAACUCCUGGAAACGGUAGCUAAUACCGCAUACCAUCGGAUGUGCCCCGAUGGGAUUAGCUAGUAGGUGGGGUAACGGCUCACCUAGGCGACGCUCCCUAGCUGGUCUGAGAGGAUGACCAGCAAGACUGGAACUGAGACACGGUCCAGACUCCUACGGGAGGCAGCAGUGGGGAAUAUUGCACAAUGGGCGCAAGCCUGAUGCAGCCAUGCCGCGUGUAUGAAGAAGGCCUUCGGGUUGUAAAGUACUUUCAGCGAGGAGGCGUUACUCGCAGAAGAAGCACCGGCUAACGCCGUGCCAGCAGCCGCGGUAAUAC